AACGAACGCUGGCGGCAGGCUUAACACAUGCAAGUCGAACGCACCUUUCGGGGUGAGUGGCCGACGGGUGAGUAACGCGUGGGAAUCUACCCUUCUCUACGGGAUAGCUCCGGGAAACUGGAAUUAAUACCGUAUACGUCCUGAGGGAGAAAGAUUUAUCGGGGAAGGAUGAGCCCGCGUUGGAUUAGCUAGUUGGUGGGGUAAAGGCCUACCAAGGCGACGAUCCAUAGCUGGUCUAAGAGGAUGAUCAGCCACAGUGGGACUGAGACACGGCCCAAACUCCUACGGGAGGCAGGAGUGGGGAAUAUUGGACAAGGGGCGCAAGUGUGAUACAGCCAUGCCGGGUGAGUGAUGAAGGCCCUAGGGUUGUAAAGCUCUUUCAGUGGAGACGAUAAUGACGGUACCCACAGAAGAAGCCCCGGCUAACUUCGUG
rnacentral:rRNA from 1 species